rnacentral:lncRNA from 1 species
UCUUCUUCUUCUCUCUCUCUCUCUCUCUCUCUCUCUCUAAAAGAAAUCAGAUUCAUCAUUGGGGAAGAUCCCUUAGGCUGGAUGAGUCAUAAAUUUAGGCUAGGUGACUCAUCGGUGGAUUUGAAAGCCUGAGGUUAGGGGAAAGAAUGGGAGGAGAGUGGGAUACUACCUUCCACGUUUUAGAUUCUCUUUUUUUUUUUUGGUGGUCUACACGAGUAUUUUUGUAAUUUUCACACAUAGGGGUAUUUUGGUCAUUUUGGUCCAAAAUUCAGAAACGAUUUCCGACGUGUUUGUUAAGUUGACUACUAUCGUACUCCCUAAGAGUUAUAAUUGUCUCACCUCAACUUCUUAAAUGUUCUUUGAAAAAAUUCACAAAAUAUUAUGUAAGGACAUUUUUAUCCAACUUAAAAUUACACACUCAAUCCAAUAGUCUCAAUCCAAAAU